AACCUUCAAGGAUAUCUGUAGUUCAACUGAACAUCAAAGGUACAGUUGAAACCUUCAAGGAUAUAAGUAGUUCAACUGAACAUCAAAGAUACAGUUGAAACCUUCAAGGAUAUCAGUAGUUCAACUGAACAUCAAAGGAGUCUGAGGAUUACUGACUACAAAGAGAACUGAGCGGGUUUAAGCUAAUAAACCUCCUAUCUCAGAGAAUACCUGGAUAAAAGAGUGGGUUUUCAAGCUAAGAAAACCUCUUAGCUCAUGGAGUCUUAAACCUUAAUAAGACCUCCUGGCUCAACUCUUUACCCAGCUAAAUAUUAAAAGAAGUUGAGUGGUUUAGUAUACCUGGAGACAUUACUGCACAAGCUCUGGGGAAAUAAGCACAUCAACUACAGGGUAACGUAACCAGACAAGAUUAACCUGAGGAAGGACCUCCACUACAGCAACCUUUUAAUGGAUAAAAGGCGAGCUAGUUCACAAUUAUGCAACAAGUUGAUUAAUUGAUUGCAUUAAAUUGUUUAAUUGAUUUCGGGAAAAUUAUCAAUUGAACUUGUCUUGUUAA